rnacentral:rRNA from 1 species
AUUGAACACUGGCGGCAGGCCUAACACAUGCAAGUCGAGCGGAUGAAGGGAGCUUGCUCCUGGAUUCAGCGGCGGACGGGUGAGUAAUGCCUAGGAAUCUGCCUGGUAGUGGGGGAUAACGUCCGGAAACGGGCGCUAAUACCGCAUACGUCCUGAGGGAGAAAGUGGGGGAUCUUCGGACCUCACGCUAUCAGAUGAGCCUAGGUCGGAUUAGCUAGUUGGUGGGGUAAAGGCCUACCAAGGCGACGAUCCGUAACUGGUCUGAGAGGAUGAUCAGUCACACUGGAACUGAGACACGGUCCAGACUCCUACGGGAGGCAGCAGUGGGGAAUAUUGGACAAUGGGCGAAAGCCUGAUCCAGCCAUGCCGCGUGUGUGAAGAAGGUCUUCGGAUUGUAAAGCACUUUAAGUUGGGAGGAAGGGCAGCAAGUUAAUACCUUGCUGUUUUGACGUUACCAACAGAAUAAGCACCGGCUAACUUCGUG